rnacentral:rRNA from 1 species
UACGUAGGGUGCGAGCGUUGUCCGGAAUUAUUGGGCGUAAAGAGCUCGUAGGCGGCCUGUCGCGUCGUCCGUGAAAACCCACGGCUCAACUGUGGGCUUGCGGUCGAUACGGGCAGGCUGGAGUUCGGUAGGGGAGACUGGAAUUCCUGGUGUAGCGGUGAAAUGCGCAGAUAUCAGGAGGAACACCGGUGGCGAAGGCGGGUCUCUGGGCCGAUACUGACGCUGAGGAGCGAAAGCGUGGGGAGCGAACAGG